CAGGCUCUUAUCUAUGCAUGCUUGCUCGGAAACAGGGUCCAGUUACGCAUCUGGGCCCCCGCCAACCCAAAUUCGCAUGCAGACGGCUGCAGUUCCAGCAGCUUCGCUAGAAAUCCGUCCACCGCACUUUCCGCUCGUGCCGCAGGACCUAUGAAGGAGCCUCCUGGGCCAGGCCAGUGGCCCGUCUAGUCCAGCACCAUGUUCUUAAAGCAGCCCACCUACCAGAUGACACUUAAGGGAAAUGUGCAAGCAGGAAGGGAGCACAGAAGCGCUCUCCCCUUCUGCAGCGUCCAGCAGCUGGUAUUCAGAAGCAUUGCUGCUUCCAUCGCUGAAGCAGAGCAGAGCCAGCAUGGCAAGUAGAAAUAGACAGCAAGUUCCGUAGUUUAACUAUGUCCUGUGUUCUUUUACCUUGCUCAAUCUUCCAACAUUCACCUUCAUUGGGUGCCCAGGAGUUCUUAGUGUUACAGGAGAGGGAGAAAAACUUUUCUCUAUCCACUUUCCCCAUGCCAUGCAUAAUUUUAUAAACUAUUAUCAUCCCACCUUUUACUCGUCUUUUCUCUAAACUAUAAAGUCUCAAACGCUGCAAGCUUUCUUAAUGGCAGGGGGAGUAGGGGAGCUGCUCCACCCCCUUUAUCAUUUUCAUUGUCCUUUUCAUAACUUUUUCUUACUCUACAAUAUCAUUUUUGAGACGAGGGGACCAGCAGAGUUUUCUAAAUGAUUUGUAUAAUGACAUUAAGCUAUUGGCAGCUUUAUUUUCAGUUCCUUUCCUAAUGAGUCCUUGCAUGUAAUUUGCCUUUUGAUGAGCUAUCUUUUAUGACUCCCAAGGUCUCAUUUCUUAUCUAUCAGGCUACCAGUUCAGACCCUAUGAAUGAUGUGCAAGUAAUUUUUUUUUUUGCCUGGAUAUGCGUCUGGUUGAUCUUGGGGUUGUAGUAAAACACAGAACCCCUUAAAGUUUGAAGCUAGACCUCCCCUGCUCUAGGUCACCCAGUGAAACUGAUUGGCAGUAGAGUUGAGACAGUGGAGGAGACAAAGGGGAGCAUUUAUUUGCCCAGUAUGUGCUGGAUGGUGGAAUUCACUGCCACAAGAUGUGGUGAUGGCUGCUAAAAUUGGCAGUGGUUAGGGUGGAAGGGAGGGGGCUGUCCACAACUUCUAACCAUGGCUGCUAAACAGAACAAUCGGCUGGAUGCGUAGAGGCAGUAAAGGAGGGUAGAAGAGCAAUGCCUUUAUACCCCUGCUUGCGUUUGCAUUUUUCAAAAGCGUAUGACCAGCUGCCACUGGAAGCAGGCUAUUGGGCUAAUCAUACAUUGGACCAAGGCUUUUUUAUUAUGUCCAUAUAUGGAUUCCCUCCCCUCCCCCCCAUGGUACUCCACUUCCAAGUGCUAGCAACUUUAAGGUAGCCAGUGAAACAGCAGCCAACCAGAGAUGUUUGUGUUGCAAGUGGCGGGUGCGUUUGAAACACUUGGAUCACUUGCAGCUGCACCCAGAGCUGGAAGUCACGCUGCAGACAGCAGGGCUUCAGGCGGCAGACUCCGUUUUCCACCAAAAAAGAGGAGCAUGUGUGGAGAGAUCUGAAGAUGAAGGCCACCCAGCUUUGCAUUUUAAAAUAAAAUAUCUGAACUCCUG